rnacentral:rRNA from 1 species
UACAGAGGUCUCAAGCGUUGUUCGGAUUCAUUGGGCGUAAAGGGUGCGUAGGCGGCGCGGUAAGUCGGGUGUGAAAUCUCGGAGCUUAACUCCGAAACUGCAUUCGAUACUGCCGUGCUUGAGGACUGGAGAGGAGACUGGAAUUUACGGUGUAGCGGUGAAAUGCGUAGAUAUCGUAAGGAAGACCAGUGGCGAAGGCGGGUCUCUGGACAGUUCCUGACGCUGGGAGACGAAGGUCAGGGGAGCAAACGGG